AUUGCAUGUUGAUACUGGUUCUCCUCUUACUUCCUCUGCUGCCUCCUCUAUUCCUGGUCCUUCUGUUAGAUACUUGUUCAGAGGAUUUCUAAUGUACCUAAUCUGUCAACUCUGGGCCUUUACAAAGGUGAGUAAGGGAGCAAUGAUACCUCUGAACUACUGUGGAAGAGAAAUGCUUCAUAAUGAACUGAGAAAAUCCACAUAAAAUUCCUUAGAAAAAGUUAAAACGCAUACAAAUGCAAGAUGUAAUAGUAUUAGGCCUAGGAAGCUGGCUGUAAUAUUCCCAUAAGCUCUAACCACACCAGCUUUGGGUGAAUCAUGCUAAAAGCUGGAGGUUAAUAACUGAGCUAAUAAAACUGGGAAAUUGGAGUAUGCGACCAUGGGCUGAUAUCUAGGAGGGGUUGCAGUUUUGAGAUUGACUGUUCUAACUAGAAUCCUUUGAAAUUUAGAAGGUAGUCUGGUCGUCUGGCUCCUGAAGAAGACGACCAGUAGGGAAGAGGUAUUCUGCGGCUAUGACUGGUAUGAGAACAUUGAAGCCUACUGGGAUGGGGCAGUAUCUUAGAGGGAAUGAUAGACUCCACCGAUUUCGAAUAGAGAUAUGACUGGUGAAUUUCUAGGGAUCGCCAUACCUCCUUUUCUCUUUCAUUUUUGUUUUUGGGCUUUGCUGGUUUAGUUUUUUGCCAAUUCAUGGUCCUGAACUUUCUCAGUUAACUUUGGAAAUGAAUAACGUAGGAAAUGUCCUCUCAUCUCCCUCCCUUAUUACUCUAAAGGACAGAACCAGGAUCCACAUGGAGGUACUUCUCUACAUGGAUCUGAAAUAUGGGACUAUCCUGAUUGUAUUCUAAAGGAUCAAGGUGCUAGAAAGUGACCACUGGGCAAUGGAUUACAUUUGGGGAUACAAAUAUAUAGUAUUGGGGCUAAGAGAACAGGUUUUUUAGUCAGUCUAGCAAAGUCUAGAACUCAGUUCCACCACCUACUGGCUCCCGUUGGACGAGGUAUUUA
rnacentral:lncRNA from 10 species